UGUUACCUUAAUGUGGGUUCAAGCAACCUGAUAUUUUAUGAAUCUGCUUGUUUACACUAAUCUCCAUGUUAGCAAGUACUGAACACAUUCAGAGCAGGAUUCUUGUAAUCCUUAUUGGUUGGAGUGGGAGGGCAUAGGCUCAAUUUUUUAUGAUAUGUUUCGUUUGGUUUUGUUAGAAGUAAAAUACAUUUAAUAGGAAUCAAUUUGUAGCUACUUUCUUUGCAUUUUGGAGACAAUUUCUCACUUGCUUCAAAGAUCUAUUCCUCAAUUGCAUGACUAAUUGGGCAAGCCACCUAGAUCUUUGCCAUGCAUGUAUCUACGACCUUCAGGAUCUACAAUUGAGGUCUGUAAAUUUGCUGCAGUUUGCAGAUGACAGAUCUCAAAACUGUGAAGUGCCAAAUUGUUACGUGCAAACUUUUAUUUUUCUCGUGGAUGUGAUUUUCUUUUGAAAUUAUUUAGCAUUAUUAAAUAUUACUAAAUAAUUUAGUAACAAAAUUUAAUCAAAUUCAAGUUGGGAUUGUAGAUACGAACAUCUCUUCAGGUUUUGGCAUUGCAACGGGAGGGUAACUCGGUAGAUGUUAAAAAACAGAGAACUGCAUUUCCUCCAAAUUUUGUGCACUCACUUGAUGGUUCACACAUGAUGAUGACAGCUAUUGCCUGCAGAGAGGCUGGUUUACAUUUUGCAGGGGUUCAUGACUCGUUUUGGACACAUGCAUGUGAUGUGGACAAGAUGAAUCAGAUUCUUCGUGAGAAAUUUGUGGAGCUCUAUAGCAUGCCAAUACUUGAAAAUUUGCUUGAGAGUUUCCAGACAGCAUACCCCACAUUGGUGUUUCCUUCUCUCCCUAAGAGGGGCAACUUUGACUUGCCAGAGGUUCUUGAAUCUCCGUAUUUUUUCAACUGAUCCUCAUCCAUCAGCAUUCAUGUAUAACCAACAGAAGCAUUUUAGUCUCCUAAUUUUCUUCCCAAAGGAGUGAAGAAGGAUAAAAUUUGCAUUGAACCAAAAGAUGAACAACCCAAAACCGAAGCUGAUGGUGGUUGCUUCUUCAAACACCUGAGAGGACAGAAAAAAGUCCGGUGAUCGACUUCACACGCCAAUAAUCUUGAAGGGUUCUUGAAAUUGUCCUCAGAUGGUGAUCAACAUCUACAUAGCGUUCAGUUUCUAGCGCAGAUGAAGAACCACCAACUGAUUGAUCUCCUUGUUGGGAAAAUGAAGCUUAUUCCUGGCUAGGUUCAUCAUCGGAAGUUCUGGUUACUCAUUGCUUUUCAGGGGGCAAGAGCCAGAUGCUAAAUCCUUGCAGCAAAUUUUUUCUGCUGUUAGGGUUCAUUGCUUGGGUAUUCAUGAUCCAAGAAGAUCAAUUUUUUUUUCCUUUCCUCGUGUUCAUAUCUUCUUUUAUUAUUAUUGUUGUUGUUAUUUAUAUAGUUACAAAUAGAAAAAGAAUAGCGGGUGUAUCUUAGCACGAACUGGCUGUAAAAGGCAAUAUGUGUUACAUUUUCUGCCAAGAUAAAGAAAUUAAAGUCAAAAUUUUGCCUUGUCCA